UCCCUUGUGACGAGCAGCCGCGCUAUGGGUGAGUCUGUCUGGUCCCUGCCUGAUGGAGGGGGAUUACUACUGAAAACGGCAGCUAUUACCGCAUAACGUCACAAGACCAAAGAGGGGCACCUUCCGGCCUCUUGCCAUCAAUGUGCCCUGAUGGCAUUAGCUAGUAGGUGGGGUAAAGGCUCACCUAGACGACGAUCCCUAACUGGUCUGAGAUGAUGACCACCCACACUGGAACUGAGACCCGGUCCAGACUCCUACGGGAGGCGGCAGUGGGGAAUAUUGCACAAUGGGCGCAAGCCUGAUGCACCCAUGCCGCGUGUGUGAAGAAGGCCUUCGGGUUGUAAAGCACUUUCAGCGAGGAGGAAGGUGGUGAGCUUAAUACGUUCAUCCAUUGACGUUACUCGCAGAAAAAGCACCGGCUAACUCCGUGCCAGCAGCCGCGGUAAUACGGAGGGUGCAAGCGUUAAUCGGAAUUACUGGGCGUAAAGCGCACGCAGGCGGUUUGUUAAGUCAGAUGUGAAAUCCCCGGGCUCAACCUGGGAACUGCAUUUGAAACUGGCAAGCUAGAGUCUCGUAGAGGGGGGUAGAAUUCCAGGUGUAGCGGUGAAAUGCGUAGAGAUCUGGAGGAAUACCGGUGGCGAAGGCGGCCCCCUGGACGAAGACUGACGCUCAGGUGCGAAAGCGUGGGGAGCAAACAAGAUUAGAUACCCUGGUAGUCCACGCUGUAAACGAUGUCGAUUUGGAGGUUGUGCCCUUGAGGCGUGGCUUCCGGAGCUAACGCGUUAACUCCACCGCCUGGGGAGUACGGCCGCAAGGUUAAAACUCAAAUGACUUGACGGGGGCCCGCACAAGCGGCGGGAGCAUGUAGUUUUAAUUCGAUGCAACGAAGAAAAACCCUUACCUUGUUCUUGACAUCAAUAUACUUUUCAAGAGAUGGAUUGUUCGCCUUUCGAGCACUCUGAGACAGGAUGCUGGCAUGGCUGUCCAUCAAUCUAAAAAA
rnacentral:rRNA from 1 species